rnacentral:tRNA from 1 species
GCCCCUGUAGCUCAGUCGGUUAGAGCAGCGGACUCAUAAUCCGUUUGUCGCAGGUUCAAGUCCUGCCGGGGGCA